rnacentral:rRNA from 1 species
GUAUCUUCGGAUAUGAGUAGAGCGGCGGACGGGUGAGUAACGCGUAGGAAUCUACCUAGUAGAAGGGGAUAGCCCGGGGAAACCCGGAUUAAUACCGUAUACCUCCUUCGGGAGAAAGAAGGCCUCUCUUUGAAGCUUUCGCUACUAGAUGAGCCUGCGUAAGAUUAGCUUGUUGGUGAGGUAAAGGCUCACCAAGGCUACGAUCUUUAGCUGGUCUGAGAGGACGAUCAGCCACAUUGGGACUGAGACACGGCCCAGACUCCUACGGGAGGCAGCAGUGGGGAAUAUUGGACAAUGGGCGCAAGCCUGAUCCAGCCAUACCGCGUGUGUGAAGAAGGCCUUCGGGUUGUAAAGCACUUUAAGCAGGGAGAAAAAGUUAUAAGUUAAUACCUUAUAACCCUGAUGUUACCUGCAGAAUAAGCACCGGCUAAUUCCGUGCCAGCAGCCGCGGUAAUACGGAAGGUGCAAGCGUUAAUCGGAAUUACUGGGCGUAAAGCGCGCGUAGGUGGUUUGUUAAGUUGGAUGUGAAAGCCCUGGGCUCAACCUAGGAACUGCAUCCAAAACUAACUCACUAGAGUACGAUAGAGGGAGGUAGAAUUCAUAGUGUAGCGGUGGAAUGCGUAGAUAUUAUGAAGAAUACCAGUGGCGAAGGCGGCCUCCUGGAUCUGUACUGACACUGAGGUGCGAAAGCGUGGGUAGCGAACAGGAUUAGAUACCCUGGUAGUCCACGCCGUAAACGAUGACAAC